GUCCGGGUAGGUUGACUACGGUCUGCAGCGCUGAGCUGAGCGGGGCUGUUGGAGAAAGCUGUGCAUUUAAAACCGCCCAGGGAAGACGCCGCAUUUACGAGGCUAGUUUUUUUUGUGUGCUGUCUCCCUCCCUCCCUCCUCGCCCCGGGUUGACUCUGUCCGGUCCACAAUGAGUUGGUCGAGAGGAAUGCAGCACCGGUUUACCUGAGCAAGUGCUAUAUUUCUUUGAACCCCACCGCACCAUACUUACUCUUCUACUUUUUAUUUCAUUUAAUUGGAUGCCGUGUCGGACUGCUGCUGUUGCUGCCACCCUGAAAGAAAUAGGAGGACUCGCUUUAUUUGAAAUAAAGAGGAGCAAGGUUAUGUAGGUAGGCAUUGCUGUCGGAUACAUCACCGCCCCGUUGUUUACAUGCUGUAAUUGGAUUUUCCAUCAUCUCCAGCAGCAGCAGUAGUAGCUCAGGGUUUCCUCCUCCUCCUCUUGUUCCUCCUUCUCCUGUUCGGAGCUUUUUGCCGGGUCGUCCAGGUUGUGUUGAGGCUGGUGGUGGUGGUGGUGGUGGUCGGUGGAGAAGAAGAAGAAGAUGGGACUACCUGCUCUGGAGUUCAGUGACUGCUACCUGGACAGUCCGCAGUUCAGGGAGAGACUCAAGUCCCACGAGCUGGAGCUGGACAAGACCAACAAGUUCAUCAAGGAGCUGAUCAAAGAUGGCAAGGCGCUGAUACAGGCUUUGAAAAGUCUGUCAACAGCCAAGAGGAAGUUUGCUGACUCACUCAACGAGUUUAAAUUCCAGUGUAUCGGAGAUGCUGAGACGGAUGAUGAGAUAUGCAUAGCCAAGUCUCUUCAGGAGUUUGCAGCGGUCCUGCAGAACCUGGAGGAUGAGAGAACACGUAUGAUCGAGAAUGCCAACGAUGUGCUGAUUAUGCCUCUGGAGAGGUUCAGGAAAGAACAGAUCAGCGCAGCCAAGGAAGCCAAGAAGAAAUAUGACAAAGAGACGGAGAAGUAUUGUGCAGUGCUGGAUAAGCACCUCAGCCUUUCAUCGAGGAAGAAAGAGUCUCAUCUACACGAGGCGGACAACCAGGUAGAUACCGUACGGCAGCAUUUCUACGAGGUUUCUCUGGAGUACGUCUUCAAGGUGCAGGAGGUCCAAGAGAGGAAGAUGUUUGACUUUGUGGAGCCUCUGUUGGCGUUCCUCCAAGGCCUGUUCACCUAUUAUCACCACGGCUAUGAGCUGGCAAAGGACUUCAAUCACUUCAAGACUGAUCUCACCAUCAGCAUACAGAAUACGAGGAACCGUUUUGAGAGCACGCGGUCGGAGGUGGAGAGUCUCAUGAGGAAGAUGAAGGAGAAUCCACACGAGCACAAGAGUGUGAGCCAGCACACCAUGGAGGGAUACCUGUUUGUGCAGGAGAAGCGCUCAUUUGUAUCUACCUGGGUGAAGUACUACUGUACGUACCAUCGUGAGCCCAAGAGGAUCACCAUUGUCCUGUUUGACCCUAAAUCUGGAGGGAAAACAGGAGAAGAGGAGAGCUUCACCCUCAAGUCGUGCACCAGGAGGAAGACGGACUCCAUAGAAAAGAGGUUCUGUUUUGAUGUGGAGGCUGUGGACAGGCCGGGAGUAAUCACCAUGCAGGCUCUGUCAGAAGAAGACCGCAGGUUGUGGAUGGAGGCCAUGGAUGGGAGAGAACCGGUAUACAAUCUGAACAGAGACAGCCAGGCUGAAGGCAUGACCCAGCUGGAUGUGAUUGGGUUCAAUGUGAUGAAAAAGUUCAUUUAUGCAGUGGAGUCUCGAGGUAUCGACGAUCAGGGCUUGUACAGAAUCGUUGGCGUCAACUCCAGAGUACAGAAACUACUGAGCUUCGCUAUGGAUCCAAAGACAUGUGCUGACGUGGAGCUGGAAAACCAAGAGUGGGAGAUCAAGACUAUCACCAGUGCAAUAAAGCACUAUCUCAGAGUGCUGCCCGGACCUCUCAUGACCUACCAGUACCAGAGGAGCUUCAUCAAAGCUGCCAAGUUGGACAACCAAGAGGCCAGAGUUGCAGAGAUCCAUGCCCUGGUGCACCGGCUGCCUGAGAAGAACAGACAGAUGCUGGAGCUGCUGAUGAAACAUCUGGCCACUGUGGCCAAUCACCACCAGCAGAACCUGAUGACCAUAGCCAAUCUGGGUGUGGUCUUCGGGCCAACUCUGCUCCGCCCACAGGAGGAGACGGUGGCAGCCAUCAUGGACAUCAAGUUCCAGAACAUUGUAGUAGAGAUCCUCAUCGAGCACCAUGAGAAGAUAUUCAGGGACGUGCCGACUUCUGCAGCCGGGCCGACUAACAUGCAGCUCAACCUAUCCAGGAGGAGAAGCACCGAGAGCAAAGCCCCGUCCUGCAGCGAGAGGCCGCUCACACUCUUCCACACACCAACACAUUCUCUGAAAGGUGAAAAGAAGAACAGUGUUGUCAACGCCACAGUCGCAGAGCUGCAGCAGCCGGUUUCCUCCUCUGCCAACUGUAACAGCAGCAGCAGUAGCAGCAGCAGCAGCCAAGGUCGAACCCCGAGACACAGCCUGACCAGCAACGACGGAGAGCACGACACCCGGCAGAUCCGGCCCAGCUCCCUGCUGAAUCCAAAGAGUCGUGGCAGCAUACCAACCAGCGCAAUGUCUCCCAGCCCCACUUCACCUCGCUCUCCCUCCUGGCCGAUGUUCUCAGCCCCAUCAAGUCCGCAGCCGACGUCCUCCGCCUCUAGUGACUCCUCCCCUGUCAGUAUUGCUGGCAGAAAGGCUCGAGCGCUGUAUGCCUGCAAGGCAGAGCAUAACUCGGAGCUGUCCUUCAUCGCUGGGACCAUCUUUGAGAACGGUGAGUCUGGCUCUGGACUUGACAGCAGAAAGGAAAAAGGAAAGAAUCUUGCAGUUACCAUAUAUUUACAUCCCGUCUUCCUGCCUCACACCGGAUCGACAGAAACCCACUGCACACUACCUGCCCAGCACCAAACAGCAGACACACAAAGUUAGCGACUAGCUUGUGAACAUAGCGGAGCAUUUGGCAGCUUAAGAGCCAUACAUUUACCUCAGGAGGUGGUGGAGACCAAAACAGAGCUGAAAGAAGAUUCAUUCCUCCAGGGAGCCCGGUUGGCUAGAAGGGACUCUGGACGGCCGAACAGGAUUGAUACCAGAAAACUAUGUGGACUUUUUAUAGUCCAGGGUCCAGAAAAAGACUUGAACUGGACUAUUCUGGAAUGGAGUUGACCAAACUGGACUAGAUUCGACUGCACAAGACUGAACAGACUCUUAUUACAUCAUAUACUAUACUGGACUGGACCAUUGUUGAUGAUGCUUCUCUUGUCUUGACUAGACUGGGAAUUGAAACUGGACCAAGCAGAACCACGUGGAAUGGAUAUGACGCAGGACCGAAAGAGUGACUCAUGAAUUGCACUGAAAAAAAAAAAAGGAAAAUAUUAGUCCCACUGUGGUUUCCAGCUGUUAUUGGAUUAGUGUGGAAGACUUCACAAGUCCUGAUGAAGAUGAUGUGGUAACCUGGAAUGUGUGUGAGAGAAAAAAGUGUGUGUGUGGCGGGGGUUAGAGACAAAAUGACACUUAUAAAUGAGUUGAUCUUUCUGGGCUGUAAGGCUUUUCAGCGCUUGCUUUAUGUCUUUGAACUUCACUGCCAUUGCUCCAGAAUCAUCUGUUUUUAUCAGCCAGAAAAAGUAAAAAUCUUCCUUUGGAGACGAUGACAGGGAACAAGAUAAAAAGCAAUUGGUCUUUGACUUUGGACUUGCUACUUCACCUCCUCACUGUGUGCUGUUUGAAUGAUUGCUAAUCCCAUUGGGGGACCGAAGCUUUUAAAGACGACUUAAAUGAUUUGGGUUUUGGCUGUACGGCUGUAAAUGUGUUAGUGAGCACUUGCUGUGGCGGUCCGGUAAUUCCCCAGGACAAGACUCAACCUGGCUAAUGUUUCAGAGCUCCAGUUCAGCAGCAGGAGCCCCAGGGUAGAUCAGCACAGGAUAAGGUCGCCUCAAAAAACAGUUCGGCAAAAGGUCAGGAUUUGGUUUUAUCCUUAUUUAUAACGCCUCUCCUGGCAGAGCCCUCACAUUUUAUUUUUAAAUGUUCAAACAAACCCGACAAGCAGAUCAUAGGUUUACAAUGCAGCGUAGGAGUAACAACUGCAUCCUGCUGGUUAAAACAAGUCCAGCUGUGAAGCCGCGCUCUGCUUCCCCAGCUGUGAUAUUUUUUGAUUGUUUGAAAUAAUUGGAUCCAGUACGGUCCAUAGUGUUGAGUCAUGUUUGCAACAUCACAGAGCACCUACGUACCAAACCAUCAAUGUUGUUUUUUUUUUUAAACCUUUCAGAAAUGCAUAUAAUUGAUCAUAUGUAUUUAUUUUAAGCCUGCAUCUUGUUCUCUCCUUGUUUUAACCACCAUGCCGAUUCAAUCAGUUGCUUUACUGUAGAUGAUUUCAUCUUUACCGGUUUGGAGUGAGCAAACGACUGACGUAGUUUCAAAGUCAAAAUAUGCAAAUGUGGUGCGUCAUGACCCAACACUAGGGCAUUUUUACAUUUUUAUGUACGAAUCACAAAGACGAUGCUUAUAAUGUAUUUAUCUGAGGACGGACAUUUACAUUUUGAACUGGAGUUUAAUGCCAAGGCUGUCAUUUACAAGCAAAUGAAAUGCAGUUGUGGUUUUCAGAGAAGCUCAGACAUUUGAAGAAAGAAAUAAAUCAUACAUUUUUCAUAAUUUGCUCCGAUAUGUAUAUGCAAGCUGGUCUGCUUCGGGGUCCCCUUUUAAUAAGUCGAAGCUGAACUUUUUCCUUGAACCACUUGGUGAACGUCUGUAUGAAAAUAUUUCGUUGGAUUUUAUUUUUUAUUUUAGGACAGAAUAUUGAAGACCAUUUAUGCUUUUUAACUGGGAUUUCUAAUGGGAGAGUAAAUAAAAUAAAAACUUUAAAUGUGAAAUGAGACUACUUUGUUCAUAUCUGAACUUCUUAUUUAUGAGAGUUUCUUAAAGGCUCAAUCCUGAACUGUAUUCAUUUUGAGGUGUUUUAUUGACAUUGUAAAUAAAUACACAGCAUUUGAUAAGGUAUCAUUUUUUUAAGUAUGACAUUUUAUAUUUUGUAUUUUUAGCAUACUAACUUAAUUCCUUAAUUCCAUCUUUGUUGCCCAGAUUUUUGUAUCAUUUAAGUCUUUCUACAGCCUUAAAUCUUCUUUCAGAUGUCUUGGUGAAUUGACAAGAUGUGCAGAAUUAAAGAUAAAUGUUCAACAACUGCA